rnacentral:lncRNA from 10 species
CUGGGUCCAAGCAAUUCUCCUACCUCAGCCUCCUGAGUAGCUGGGAUUACAGGCGCCCGCCACCACCCCAGCAUUUUUAGUAGAGCCGGGGUUUCACCAUGUUGGCCAGGCUGGUCUCGAACUCCUGACCUCAGGUGAUCUGCCCGCCUCGGCCUCCCAAAGUGCUGGGAUUACAGGCGUGAGCCACCACGCCCGGUCUCUUUCUUUUCUUUUUAAGACAGGGUCUCACUGUGUUGCUCAGGCUGGAGUGCAAUAACACAAACAUGAAUCACUGGAGACUCCACCUCCUGGGCUCAAGUGAUUCUCCUGCCUCAGCCUCCAGUGUAGCUGGGACCAUGUGCCACCACAUCCAGAUAAUUUCUUGAUUUUUUUUGUAGAGAUGGGUCUCACUUUGUUACCCAGGAUAGCCUCAAACUCCUAGGCUCAAGCGAUCCUCCUACCUUGGCCUCCCAAAGUGUUAGGAUUAUAGGCAUAAGCCACCAUGCCCAGCCAGCAACCUGUUUUUUUUUCACUUAAUAUCAUCAUCUUUUCACGUCAAUUGGUAAAGAUCAGCCUAAUCUCUUCUGAGGACUGCACAGUCAUUGAAGGAAAUGUACCAUAAUUUAUUGAACCAAUCUCCUACUGAAAGACAUUUAGAUUGUUUCCAACUUUCUGCCAUUAUAAAUAAUUAUCUAAAAUAUCCCCAUAUAUUUAUCUUUGUAUACUUGUCCUAUUAGCUCCUUACAAUAUAUUCUCAUGUACUGGAUCUAAGGAAAUGGGCACUUUAAAUUUUAAUAGAUACUGAAAACUUCGUCUCCUAAAAGAAUCUACCAAUUUAUCAUCCAAAUCAAUAGCAUUUCUCUCCACCUCAUCAGCAUUAGACAGCAUUAUUCUUUUUUUUUUUUUUUUUUUUUUUUUUGAGACAGAGUCUCACUCUGUCGUCCAGGCUGGAGUGCAGUGGAGUGAUCUUGGCUCACUACAUUUCUCUCUUAGGUUCAAGCGAUUCUUCUGCCUCAGCCUCCUGAGUAGCUAGAAUUACAGGCAUGCACCACCACGCCCAGUUAAUUUUUGUAUUUUUAAUACAGAUGGGGUUUCACCAUGUUGCCCAGGCUAGUCUCGAACUGAACUCAAAUGAUCCACCCGCCUUGGCCUCCUAAAGUGCUGGGAUUACAGGUGUGAGCCACAGCGCCUGGCCAGCAUUAUUUUUUUUAAUAUUUCCCAAUCUGAUAGGCAAGAAAAAUCUUGUUGCUAUGAUUUAUAUUUCUUUAUGAGCAAGAUGAACAUUUGUAUUUCACCCUAUGUACGCUGCCAAUUGAUAUCCUUUAUAUAUUAAAAAAUACAUAUCAAUAUUUUGUCAUAUAUGCUGUAAACAUUUUUAAAAAGCAGUAUAUCAUUUGCCCAUUUAGUUUCUUUUUUUUUUUUUUUUGAGGCAAGAUGUCACUCUGUCACCCAGGCUGGAAUACAGUGGCAUGAUCACGACUCACUGCAGCCUCAACCUCCUGAGCUCAAGCGAUUCUCCUGCCUCAGCCUCCCAAGUAGCUGGGACUACAGGUGUGCACCACCACACCCAGCUAAUUUUUGUUUUUAUUUGUAGAGAUAAGGUCUCACCAUGUUGCCCAGGCUAAUGUGGAACUCCUGGGCUCAAGCAACCUGCCUGCCUCAGUCUCCAAAGUGCUGGGAUUACAAGUGUGAGCCACCGUGCCCAGCCUCUUUUAGUUUCUUUACUAUCUCUUUUGCUGUAUACAGAUUUAAAUUUUCAUAGAGUCUAAUUUAUCAAAAUUUUCCUGUGACUUCUGGGUUUAUAACUCACUCUUCCCAUAAUUAAAGGUUACUAUUAAAGUGUUCUGUAUAUUGUAUCCUGGCAUGUUAGGUUUUAAUUGCUACAUGUAGAUAGUUAAUCUAACUGUAUUUUUGUUUAUGUUGUGAAGUAGAGGUUUGUCUUUAUUUUCCAAAUGUGUUCUCCCAACACUACUUAAUAAUCUACCUUUCUCCACAGAUUAAAAAUGCCAUCUGUACCAUAAAGUUCUAUUUUGUUCCACUGAUCUUUCUGGCCCUUCUUCUACCUCUUCUAUACUACAUUAAUUGAUCUUAGGAAAUGUACAAUAAUGUACAUAACCAACCCUGCAUUCAUCUCCCUAUAAGUAUCUCCCACGUAUCUUCACUUAUAUCCUUUUCACAACAAAUUAUUAGCAAUUUUAUAUUUAUUCUUCUAGAUGCAACUCAGAUUCAAGAUUGGGAACUUCUUUUUCAAGUUUCCUGAAUCCUACUGAGACUGGAAUAAUUUGGGUGGAAGAUCUGACAACUUGAUAAUACAAUAUUGACUUUUUUCUAAUCAUUUCUCAAGUUUUUGCUGCAUAUUUGUUAUAUUUAUUCCCAGAUGCUCUAUCACUUUUCUGAUGAAUUUGAAUGGGAUCUUUUCAACUAUCCUUUUGAUUGGUUAUUGCUAGCAUGUAGGAAACCUAGGGGGUUUGGGUAUUUUGAUCUUGUUUUGACCUCUUGGACUUCCUGAAUUAUCUUAUUGGGUCUAAUAACUUUUUGGGCCAGGUGUGGUAGCUAAUACCUGUAAUCCCAGUGUUUUGGGAGGCUGAGGUGGGAGGACUACUUGAGACCAGGAGUUCAAGACCAGGCUGGGCAGCACAGUGAGACCUCAUGUCUACUAAAAAUAAAAAAUUAGGCCAGGCACAGUGGCUCAUGCCUGUAAUCCCAGCACUUUGGGAGGCCGAGGCAGGUGGAUCACAAGGUCAGGAAAUUGAGACCAUCCUGGCUAACAAGGUGAAACCCUGUCUGUACUAAAAAUACAAAAA